CGGCGUGCCUAACACAUGCAAGUCGUACGAGAAAGGGUCCUUCGGGAUCUGAGUAAAGUGGCGCACGGGUGAGUAACGCGUGGAUAAUCUGCCCUUCAGUUGGGAAUAACUCAUCGAAAGGUGGGCUAAUACCGAAUAACGCUGUAAGACCUUGGUCGAUCAGCCAAAGAGAGCCUCUGCUUGCAAGCCCUCGCUGAAGGAUGAGUUCGCGUACCAUUAGCUAGUUGGUAGGGUAAUGGCCUACCAAGGCGACGAUGGUUAGCUGGUCUGAGAGGAUGAUCAGCCACACUGGAACUGAGACACGGUCCAGACUCCUACGGGAGGCAGCAGUGAGGAAUCUUGCGCAAUGGGGGCAACCCUGACGCAGCAACGCCGCGUGAGUGAGGAAGGUCUUCGGAUCGUAAAGCUCUGUCGGAUGGAAAGAACCGCAUAGGGGCAAACAGCCCCUGUGUCUGACGGUACCGUCAAAGGAAGCACCGGCUAACUCCGUG
rnacentral:rRNA from 1 species